ensembl:lncRNA
CACACACAGUAAAAACUCCAACUUAAUAUUGUUGUCCUAAAAAAGUAUUUUAAGUUUUUAAGACUUGAAAAAAUAAAUUAUUCAUAUUUGACUUCAAAAUCUAAGUAAUUCCAGCAAACCAUGCAUUUUUUAUGUUUCAACAGCAUUUUGUAAGUUAACACGACUUAUUUCCUUCAGUUGGGAUGCACAACCUGUGCACAACAAGUGAAAAAGUUCUGGCAACUCGUAUGUCCUUGUCGUAAAAUGCGGGAAAGCCAACUUUCCGAGUUGAGGUUUGUUACCUGAACUCACACGAGUGACUAGUCAUUUUUCGUCAGGGCUGGAGACAACAAAGGCAAGUUUUAACCUUCUUUCCAAUUAGACUUGAAGUGUGAGUUUUUUCCAUGAAUGUGAAUAUAAUACACGAUAAAUAAGUGGAUAAGGUAUGCAUUUUCACUGACGAUAGUAUGACCCUAAACAGAAUAAAUGAUGCUUGCCGUCGCCGUUAGCUUUAGCUUAUCGCAAGCUAGGACGAGGCCUGCGGUGCUUGUCUCGGUAUGUUCAAGCAGCUAACAGCGCAGUCGUGCGAGAACGGCACUGCAGUCCUUUCAGACCGACAAAUUACAUAACAGCACACAGACAGACCGCAGCAUUGAAGGGCCUUCCUUUAUUUCUCCGUGAGAGUCACGAGAAGCUGUUCAGGAAUUGUCUGGAUACUGACCCAGAAGAGGAGAAGACAAGGGGUCUCAUAGUGGGGAUACUUUCUGUGAUGGAGGAUCACAGUUCCGCUCCUGCAAGACUUCAAAAUGUAGCUGUGGUUUUAGAAGAACAUAUCGUCUUACAAGACCUCCCUGACCUGCCAACGGCCCUUGCGUUGCUCUUUGGGCUGAUAUACGCUCUGAACAUCCAGUUUCCCAAGGAACUGCGAUACACCUUUGAAAUGUUUCAAAAGAUCUUUUUGGAGCUGGGGACAGAUCUCUCUG